rnacentral:rRNA from 1 species
GACGAACGCUGGCGGCGUGCUUAACACAUGCAAGUCGAACGAAGUGGCGAACGGGUGAGUAACGCGUAAUCAACCUGCCCUUCAGAGGGGGACAACAGUUUGCAACGACUGCUAAUACCGCAUACUGAAGGAGGGGAUUGCGUCUGCUUAGCUAGUUGGCGGGGUAACGGCCCACCAAGGCGAUGAUUAGUAGCCGGACUGAGAGGAGGAACGGGCACACAGGGAAUGAUAAACGGCCCAGACUCCUACGGGAGGCAGCAGUGGGGAAUCUGCCGCAAUGGACGAAAGUCUGAAGGAGCAACGCCGCGGGAGUGAUGACGGCCUUCGGGUUGUAAAGCGCUGUUAAUCGGGACGCGGUACCGGAAUAGAAAGCCACGGCUAACUACGUGCCAGCAGCCGCGGUAAUUC